AAAAGAAGUUAAAUUAUUUAGUAAGAUGUGGCUGUUUUAAUACCCACAGCAUUUACCCACCGGAAGUUUAAGUGGUUUUAUUUUUUUUUAAUGAAUUGUUUAUAUUAGAAGUUUCUACUGCUGUACAAGCUCUAGCAUCUAAUACUCAUAAUUCAUCAACUCAGUGCAUCAAUCUUUAGUUGUGUAAUCACUCCACACAUUUCUGCAACAGCUGGAUAGAUUUUGUAUGUCCAUAUUUAAGCAAUUGAAGACACCAGACCGAGCAAAAUGCAUUUAUAAUUGAAAGAGUUAGGAAAAGGCUUAGGAAUAGGGAAAACACCCCAAAAAUCUACCAGUAGGCAAAGGAGGAUUAUGGGGGAAGAGAAUGAACUCUAAAGAAGGGAGAAAAAUCCAAUGGCAUGGGACCUGAGGUAAAACAAAUCUUACAAAUUUCUCUUACAAAUACAUUUGAUUUUCAGUGGUGGUAAAACAGCAGCUGGCUGGUUAAAACAAAGCCCUGUAAAGCCACACCUACAACUAUACCAGAAAUCAUUAAUCUGGGACUUCUGCCCCAAGUCUUAAAUGAGAGACCACAAUCCAAAGUACCAACCCCCCUAUGAAACAGUCAGGAGACUGUUGUAAUUUUAUAAAAAAACAUUAAUGUUUAGGUCACUGCUCAGCAUUCUGGUAACAUGCAAGAUGAAGCCAAGUUUUCACUGUAAUAUAUUACAUAAAAGUAACCACCAGGACUUUGGUUGCCUGUUUUUUUAUGGUAUUUCUUCACUAACAAUUCAGCCUUAAAAAGACCUUGCACUAACUACUUGUACUUCCAGUUUUAACCACCCUCAAGUUUAAAACUAUGACGUGGGAAACAAAAACUGGCUUGGCAGCCUUGCAUAAAGCUCUUUUUAACCCACCCUGCUUGUGAUCCAGUUUCAAACUGCAUUUAAUAACCACACGCACAUUACCUUUUGUCUAAUAUUGUUAAAUAUUAGAUAACAGCAGCUUAAUGUUCAUCCUUUAAAGAUACAAACUUCAGCUGCUGUUCUCUAAGGCACUUACUUGGUAUGUCAGUAUCAGGCUGCAAAUACAGCUUGUUAUGAAUAAAUCAGUCUUACAGAGUAACUACUUAGUCACUAUUUAGUAUUUAAUUGCUAACAGUCAUUCUAAAACACAAAUUUAGAUUUGGAGUACAAGAGGAUGUGGGGUGAGUAUAAAUUAUUAAACUGACCUUCCCUAAACAGCUAGUAGAGUUUUCAAGAAGACUGACAUUAAUUUUUAUUAAUAAUAGAAAAUCCAACUAUUUCAAACUGCUGACUGCAGAACUAAGAAACAAUUUGAGACAGGGAAUGUACCAAGCCAAGUUUGAAAUUAGGUAAGACUGUCAAACACCUCUCCUUGGAGACAUUCCAGCCUGGAUGGGUUCUUCCCAGCUCCUGACAUCCAGAAUUUUUCAAGGUUGAAUAUGACAGCAGCAAAUGAGAGAGCAGGGGGACACCAGAGGCUAACCAGUGUUAGUGACUAGUUUAUAGAAUUGAUGACUUCUAUUAAAUAUAAGAAAUUCUUUGUGCUGAGAACUUGAAUAAAAAGUGAACCAGAGAGGCCAAAGGGGAGGGAGCACAAGCUCAGCCCAUGCUGUCCCAUGGCAGCCUGACGAGUUGGUAUGCCAGGCCCUCCACUGUCCUCCAGCAAUGCCAGCCAAAGAAACAGUUUCCAACAGGCAUCAAUUAUUUUGCUGGAAGCUUUCUUUAUGCCAGAAAGUGCUUCAUGCCUCAAAAGUGAUUUAUAAUUUCAUGACAAUGACGCUUAUACUCCUGAAUUAGACUACAGAUUUAGAUGGCACUGGAGAUAAAAGAAAGCCUUUCAUUUGUAACCCACUUUUUUUUUUCUGCAGUCAGAGUGACAUCUAUUGCAUAACUUUCUCACAGACACACCUUCAAGGCUAAAACAGAAGUUGCAGGGGUUCAGUUUCUCUACUUGCUUGUGCUGUGGCUUUUAUCACUUACACCAUCAGUAUAGAUUAUGACAGCAAGAUAUGUGUGUAUUAUAUAUAACAUACAUAUAUAUAUAUACAAAAGCCCUAAAAAUGGAUUUAUUAAUUACAACAUUAUGGUGAUGACCAAAAGCAGCCCACAGGCAGUUUUGUGAAGUGAAAAGCACUGUAAGAGGACCUCCAAAACCUUCUCCAGUUAGCACUACUGCUCUGUUGAAGAAGGAACGUGGAUGUUCCCAGUUCUUGCUGUGUCUUGUAUCCACUAAAAGCAUCUGGAAGCUGCCACAUUUCACACCGGUGGAAUGUGUGUCUCAGUGUUGGACAUACUGUCUCUUUAUAUAUAAAAACAAUAUGUUAAUGUUAACUAUAUUGGAGUGAAUUGAGUACAAAUCAAACAUUUUGGGAGCUGCACUUUUCACUCUCUGUGAUUACUUUAGAGCAACGAUUUUCCUUCCAUUGUAAGAGGACAGAGCAACUGACUGCAAACUAAAGUCCAUUUUCACAGUGCAUAUUCCUGGUAGGUGAAGAGUCAAGGAUGCCUGUGACACUGACACAAAACAGUGGGGACAGAGCCUAUGGAAUGCCAGGAUUUUAUCGGGCGCUCGUUUUAACAACCGACGCAAUUUGUUUACAGGACAAACACCACGCAAAUGGCACUGAAUGAGAUCAUUUUACAAGAGGUUUCUCCCUAAUAAAACAAACCCCCACGUUUGCCCAUGGAAAGGUAAACUGUAGGUCAGCUGAGGGGAGCUCAUUCUUUACCCACGGGAGUCCUCCAGCGCAUUCACCAAGGGCACGAGUUGCCUUGGGUAGAAGCGUGGGAUUCAGCAGAAAGAAAAUAAAACCAAAGGCUGCCUGACUUCAAAGGGCACAUUUCAAGAUCGGAAACCCUGGCGGCGCUCUCCCCCGUCCCUGGAAGUGUCCAUGGCUGGAUGGGGCUCGCAUCCUCUUGAAAGAAGCCGCUGCCGAGGCCUCCAGGCCCCUUUCGACCCAAGACAUCCCCUGGGCCAGGUUCUGGCAGCCCACCUGAUCCCUGGAUACACCCCGCGGACUCCGCUCCAGGGCCGCUUUCCCGUGCCAGAACACCCGAUCCCGCCCCCCACCAUCCUUCGCAUCCCCCGCUCCGCUCUCCCCGCCGGCCCAACCGGGGACCAAGGUGACCCCCGCU